AGAAGAAGAGAAGAGAAAGAGAGAAGAAGAAGAGAAAAGAAAAGAAGAGAGAAGAGAGGAAUUAAGAAGAGAAGAAGAGAGGAGAGAAGAAGAAAAGAAAGAGAGAGAAGAGAAAAGAAAAGAAGAGAGAAGAGAACAAGAAGAGGAAAGACAAGAAAGGGAAAAGAAAUAAAAAGAGAAAGUGCUACUUAUAGCAACUUUGAUGCCCAUCAUGGAACCCAAUCUUAAAAGGGAAGGUUUUCCAU
rnacentral:lncRNA from 1 species